rnacentral:rRNA from 1 species
ACGAACGCUGGCGGCGUGCCUAAUACAUGCAAGUAGAACGCUGAAGGAGGAGCUUGCUUCUCUGGAUGAGUUGCGAACGGGUGAGUAACGCGUAGGUAACCUGCCUGGUAGCGGGGGAUAACUAUUGGAAACGAUAGCUAAUACCGCAUAAGAGUGGAUGUUGCAUGACAUUUGCUUAAAAGGUGCACUUGCAUCACUACCAGAUGGACCUGCGUUGUAUUAGCUAGUUGGUGGGGUAAGGGCUCACCAAGGCGACGAUACAUAGCCGACCUGAGAGGGUGAUCGGCCACACUGGGACUGAGACACGGCCCAGACUCCUACGGGAGGCAGCAGUAGGGAAUCUUCGGCAAUGGACGGAAGUCUGACCGAGCAACGCCGCGUGAGUGAAGAAGGUUUUCGGAUCGUAAAGCUCUGUUGUAAGAGAAGAACGAGUGUGAGAGUGGAAAGUUCACACUGUGACGGUAUCUUACCAGAAAGGGACGGCUAACUACGUGCCAGCAGCCGCGGUAAUACGUAGGUCCCGAGCGUUGUCCGGAUUUAUUGGGCGUAAAGCGAGCGCAGGCGGUUAGAUAAGUCUGAAGUUAAAGGCUGUGGCUUAACCAUAGUAGGCUUUGGAAACUGUUUAACUUGAGUGCAAGAGGGGAGAGUGGAAUUCCAUGUGUAGCGGUGAAAUGCGUAGAUAUAUGGAGGAACACCGGUGGCGAAAGCGGCUCUCUGGCUUGUAACUGACGCUGAGGCUCGAAAGCGUGGGGAGCAAACAGGAUUAGAUACCUGGUAGUCCACGCUGUAAACGAUGAGUGCUAGGUGUUAGACCC